GCCCCCGGGCCCGCGCCCGCCGAAGACCCCAACAUGAACGCUGUUCUGAAAGUAUGCAGUCUGAGUUGAUUAUCGUAAUCAGUUAAAACUUUCAACAACGGAUCUCUUGGUUCCGGCAUCGAUGAAGAACGCAGCGAAAUGCGAUAAGUAAUGUGAAUUGCAGAAUUCAGUGAAUCAUCGAGUCUUUGAACGCACAUUGCGCCCCCUGGUAUUCCGGGGGGCAUGCCUGUCCGAGCGUCAUUGCUGCCCUCAAGCACGGCUUGUGUGUUGGGCCCCCGUCCCCCUCUCCCGGGGGACGGGCCCGAAAGGCAGCGGCGGCACCGCGUCCGGUCCUCGAGCGUAUGGGGCUUUGUCACCUGCUCUGUAGGCCCGGCCGGCGCCAGCCGACACCCAACUUUAUUUUUCUAAGGUUGACCUCGGAUCAGGUAGGGAUACCCGCUGAACUUAAGCAUAUCAAUAA
rnacentral:rRNA from 1 species